rnacentral:rRNA from 2 species
CAAUACGACUCUCGGCAACGGAUAUCUCGGCUCUCGCAUCGAUGAAGAACGUAGCGAAAUGCGAUACUUGGUGUGAAUUGCAGAAUCCCGUGAACCAUCGAGUCUUUGAACGCAAGUUGCGCCCCAAGCCGUUAGGCUGAGGGCACGUCUGCCUGGGUGUCACGC